rnacentral:rRNA from 1 species
GGGUUGUGAGGUUAAGCGACUAAGCGUACACGGUGGAUGCCCUGGCAGUCAGAGGCGAUGAAGGGCGUGCUAAUCUGCGAUAAGCGCCGGUAAGGUGAUAUGAACCGUUAUAACCGGCGAUACCCGAAUGGGGAAACCCAGUGUGACUCGUCACACUAUCAUUAACUGAAUCCAUAGGUUAAUGAGGCGAACCGGGGGAACUGAAACAUCUAAGUACCCCGAGGAAAAGAAAUCAACCGAGAUUCCCCCAGUAGCGGCGAGCGAACGGGGAGGAGCCCAGAGCCUGAAUCAGCAUGUGUGUUAGUGGAAGCGUCUGGAAAGGCGCGCGAUACAGGGUGACAGCCCCGUACACAAAAGCGCAUGUGCUGUGAGCUCGAUGAGUAGGGCGGGACACGUGGUAUCCUGUCUGAAUAUGGGGGGACCAUCCUCCAAGGCUAAAUACUCCUGACUGACCGAUAGUGAACCAGUACCGUGAGGGAAAGGCGAAAAGAACCCCGGCGAGGGGAGUGAAAAAGAACCUGAAACCGUGUACGUACAAGCAGUGGGAGCCCCACCACCAAAGCAUUCUCUGGUGUUGAAGGCCCUGCAAAGCAGCAUCGCGGUGGCGGAGCGUCGUUUGCGACGCCCAACACACAAAACAAGCGGUGAGUGCUUUGGGGUGGGGUGACUGCGUACCUUUUGUAUAAUGGGUCAGCGACUUAUAUUCUGUAGCAAGGUUAACCGAAUAGGGGAGCCGGAGGGAAACCGAGUCUUAAUUGGGCGUUAAGUUGCAGGGUAUAGACCCGAAACCCGGUGAUCUAGCCAUGGGCAGGUUGAAGGUUGGGUAACACUAACUGGAGGACCGAACCGACUAAUGUUGAAAAAUUAGCGGAUGACCUGUGGCUGGGGGUGAAAGGCCAAUCAAACCGGGAGAUAGCUGGUUCUCCCCGAAAGCUAUUUAGGUAGCGCCUCGUGAA